rnacentral:rRNA from 1 species
GAUGAACGCUAGCGGCAGGCCUAACACAUGCAAGUCGAGGGGUAGAGAUUGCUUGCAAUCUUGAGACCGGCGCACGGGUGCGUAACGCGUAUACAAUCUGCCUCUUACCGCGGGAUAGCCCAGGGAAACUUGGAUUAACACCGCAUGGCAUCCGGCCACCGCAUGGUGGCUGGAUUAAAGGUUACGGUAAGAGAUGAGUAUGCGUCCUAUUAGCUAGAUGGUAAGGUAACGGCUUACCAUGGCGACGAUAGGUAGGGGCCCUGAGAGGGGGAUCCCCCACACUGGUACUGAGACACGGACCAGACUCCUACGGGAGGCAGCAGUGAGGAAUAUUGGACAAUGGGCGCAAGCCUGAUCCAGCCAUGCCGCGUGCAGGAAGACGGCCCUAUGGGUUGUAAACUGCUUUUGUACGGGAAGAAACACCACUACGCGUAGUGGCUUGACGGUACCGUAAGAAUAAGGAUCGGCUAACUCCGUG